CCCUUAGAUGUUCUGGGCUGCACGCGCGCUACACUGAUAUAUUCAUCGAGUUCCUAGCCUGAAAAGGUUUGGCAAUCUUCUGAAAAUAUAUCGUGACGGGGAUAGAUUAUUGCAAUUAUUAUUCUUAAACGAGGAAUUCCUAGUAAGCGCGAGUCAUCAACUCGCGUUGAUUAUGUCCCUGCCCUUUGUACACACCGCCCGUCGCUCCUACCGAUUGAAUGUUCCGGUGAACACAUCGGAUUUCUUUGCUUGCAUUGAAAAAAGAUGUGUAAACCUUAUCAUUUAGAGGAAGGAGAAGUCGUAACA
rnacentral:rRNA from 1 species